GUCAAGAUGGCCGAGUGGUCUAUGGCGUUGCGUUCAGGGCCCAGUCUACUCUUGUAGGUGUGGGUUCAAAUCCCACUUCUGAAUCUCA